UACAGAGGGGGCAAGCGUUGUUCGGAAUUACUGGGCGUAAAGGGCGCGUAGGUGGCCUUCUAAGUCGAACGUGAAAUCCCCCGGGCUCAACCCGGGAACUGCGUCCGAUACUGGAAGGCUUGAAUCCGGGAGAGGGAUGCGGAAUUCCAGGUGUAGCGGUGAAAUGCGUAGAUAUCUGGAGGAACACCGGUGGCGAAGGCGGCAUCCUGGACCGGUAUUGACGCUGAGGCGCGAAAGCCAGGGGAGCAAACGGG
rnacentral:rRNA from 1 species